UUUUUAGGAGUACUGGAGCUGAGGUGCAGGCGUAGAACUAUUUUUUAGGAGUACUGGAGCUGAGGUGCAGGUGUAGAACUAUUUUUUAGGAGUACUGGAGCUGAGGUGCAGGUGUAGAACUAUUUUUUAGGAGUACUGGAGCUGAGGUGCAGGUGUAGAACUGUUUUUUAAGAGUACUUGAGCUGAGGUGCAGGCGUAGAACAGUUGUUUAGGAGUACUGGAGCUGAGGUGCAGGGGUAGACCUGGUUUUUAGGAGUACUGGAGCUGAGGUGCAGGGGUAGACCUGGUUUACAGUUUAUACGUUUUCAGGCCUCGGCACAUUUAGACCUGGCUUAGUUAACUAAUUGGGUUCAAGCACAGGUGCAGACUUUGUAGGUAUGUACAUUGGAGCUGAAGUACUGGUGUUGACCUGUUCUGUAGGAAUAUUGGGUCUGAAGUAUAGACUUCGUUUGUAUACAUGUUGAGGCUUGGGCACUGGGGUAGACCUGUUUUAUAUGAGUAUGCCCAUGGAUGUACCUGGUUUAUAUGAGUAAUGUGGUGUAGGGAUACACAAGACUCAUACAGGUAAUGGGUUUGGAUGGAUCUAUUGCCCAUUCAUAUUCUUUCUGGCAACAAGUUUGUGGUAGGAAAAAAGCUGAUGGGUCUGGGGCAUAUUUGUUAUGGCACUGUACUAUAAAUGUAUCUGUGAAAUAAUUAGUGUAUACAGGUCAGUGGUCAUAGGACUAAGAUAUGCAAAUAACAGGGUUAGAUUGUGCAGCGAAUAGCUGGAUAUAGGUUACUGUUGGUGACUUGGGGAAUACAGGACUAAGGAAAGUGGGUAACAGGUCUGACAUGAGCAAGUAACAGGGAUGAAGUGUACUGGCAAAGGAACUGUGGUCUAUGAAUAACAAAUAGUGCAUUUAGAACUAGGAUAUAGGUGUAUUGGUACUUGAUUGUAUCAAUAUUAGGGUAUUGGCAU
ensembl:lncRNA